GCCAAAUCUCACGCACGAGCGGUUCCGGGUGCUCCAAAACUUGUUCGCGAAGUACCCGGAGAAAGAGCGCGGGGUGGGCGAGCCCCAGCUGCAGCCGAGACGCGGCGUCCAAGCCUGCGAGCAACACGGGAGUCAGCCGGCGGCAGAGCGGAACGGCGCUGCCCUGCCCGACGCUGUCCCACACAAGUCACUUCCACGGGGAGGAUGCUGCGGGGACACCGGGAGGCGUUGAAGUUAUCCUCGCCCUCACGGAGAAAGGAGCGAAGCGGAGCUGAAAGUGUAGAAAACGCCGGAGCACCGUAGGGGCCUGGUGGGAAAAUACAGAGCACUGCACAGGAGGACGGCGUGCAUCCGUGGGGCAGCGCAAGGGAGGAGGCUUCUGGAACUGGCCUGGGAAGAGGUGGAGUUUUGCAGGAAGACCUUGGGGCCUCAGAUGGAGGCCUUUGGACGCUGCGUUCCAGUGACUGAAGACGCCAGAGGCUGGGGCAUGGUGACGAGUGGCAGAGACAACUGGAAAUGGGGCACAACUUCCAAAUGGGAGGAUUUGUAUUUAAGGCAGCGUUUCGUUUUCUAGGUUUAGAAGUUGGGAGGAAGAAAAGGCGUUUGCUUUCUAAGUACUGUCUGAAGGAAAGCAGACGUUAGCGAUGGAAAACUGACAGCCCCAUGUAGACCAGUUCACGUCCCUGGACGCAGACUGCUUUUCUCAGCCUACAGUGGGACUUGCCGGAGUCUUUUCUUGAGCAGUGUGCUUCCUCCAGGUGUUUCCUCCUUCUGCCAACUGGACCCAGGACACAGCAGCUCGGCUUCGAUUAUCUAGAUUCUUGGAAGCACCUGGAAGUGGCAGAGCCACAAGAAAGCGCCUGGAGGAAGAGGAGCUUCUGAUGCUUGACCCAGAACACCCAAUUAUGUGAUGAUGUGUAGACUUGGAUUGAACUAGAGCCUUAAGACUUUGGGGUUCAUUUGUUGUAGCCAUUUGGCCUCCUCUACUUAACAUGGCAUUAACUAAAACUCAUAAAGGAAGAAUAGAACUUGGCAUGUCUGAGUGAAGAAAAGUGAUCAGAUGGAACUUUCCAGACACCACUAAACCCUUCAGUGAAGGGCCAAGAAAUUAGAGGGGACUAGUCAACCAGUCUUACAUUCUCCAGGCCAUGUGAGGCACUGAGGAGAUAGUGUGGGCACUAUGCGGGACAGGGAGCUGGCCAGGAAGUAUAAUAGGGGAGAAGGACAAGGUAUUUGAAGGUAGAAACAAAGGAAGCAUUAUUAUGUCAAGCAUGGUAGGAGAGAAGCUUAAGAAGAGGGUAAGGAGUAGCUAGAAAUAUGAUAAGGUUGGGGCUGGAAAUGUGGCUCGGUGGUUAAGAGCACUGGCUGCUGUCCAAAGGACCUGGGUGGGUCUGAUUCCCAGCACCCACAUGGUGGAUCACAAACAUCUGUAACUCCAAUCCCAGGAGAUAUUCUGGCCUCCACAGGCACCAGGCAUGAAUGUGGUGCAUAGAUAUAUAUGCAGGCAAACAUCUGAAAACAUUAAAGAAAAUAUGGUAAACUUUCUAAACUGGAGCAUUUGACCAGGUUAAGUAAUUUCUAGAAUUCAGGUGCUGUGGAACAAUCUUUGUACACUGUAUGUAUUUCUCUCAUUGUUAAUAAAAAGCUGAUUGGAUGAUGGCUAGGCAGGAUUUGGGGCAGAGAGAAUGCUGGGAAGGAGGGCGGAGUGGGGGGAGUCGCCAGACAGACAGGAAGCAGGACAUGCAGGAAAGGUAAAGCUCACAAGCCCCAGGACAGCACACAUAUUAAUAGAAAUGGGUUAAUUUAAGUUGUAAGAGCUAGUUAGUAAUAAGCCUGAGCUAUGGGCUGAGCAUUUAUAAUUAAUAAUGAGUAUCUGAGUGGUUAUUUGGGAAGUGGCUGGCGGAGCAGAGCUGAUUGUGUUCCCAAUGAAAGACUCCACCUACAUUUGGGUCAUUCCUAUGGGGAAUGACCUAAAACAGCACAAGUGAAAAGUAGAAUCUGCACAUUAAAAUUAAAAGGAGAUCUGUGUAGCAAAUCUUGCUUUGUACCACCAACUUCCAAAUGAUGACAUGGAGACUUCUUAUUAAUUACGAAAAACUCAGCCUUUAGCUUAGGCUUGUUCCCAACUAACUCUUAUAACUUAAACUAACCCGCUUCUAUUAACCUAUAUUUUUCUACAUGUCUUUUUUACCUCUCCUCCAUUCUGUAUGUCCAAAUUGAUCUGGAUCUCACUGGUGUCUCCCCACUUCUUCUUCCCAGAGUCUUUUUUCUCCUUGGAAAUCCUGCCUUGUCAGAAGUGAUUGUCAUGAGCUAUUGCAGGCCAUGAUGUAAUUACAGCUUAUAGCAAUUGAUAAUUCAGAUAUCAACCCACCAGAGGAAUGAUUCUCUGAUGGGACACCUGCUAUGGGAUGUUCUGUAUGUUAAAU